rnacentral:rRNA from 1 species
UACCAAGGAAUUAAGUCAUAUAUUUAUGGUAAAAAGAUAGUUAAAUGUGUAUAUUUAGAUUUUAUAAGGUUGAUUUAAUGUUUUGUAUAGAGGUAAAAUUCGAAUACAACUGUAUAAUUUAUUAAUAACUUUUAGGUUGAAGCUAUGAAGUCCUUGAGGGAAACUAGGAUUAGGUACCCUAUUAUUUUUGGAUGUAAAUUUGGUGUAUAUUUACCAGAGUACUAUGAAUAUUAAGAAUUUAAAACUCAAAGGACUUGGCGGUGCUUUAGACCAUUUAGGGGAACCUGUCUCAUAAUCGAUGAUCCACGAUAUACCUGACCUUUUUUUGUGUUCAGCCUGUAUACCGUUGUCGUCGGGUAACUUUUUAGAAAUUAAAAGUUAGCAACAGAAAUGUAAGUAAUUCGGUACGUCAAAUCAAGGUGCAGCUAAUAAAAGGGGGAGGAUGGGUUACAAUUAUAUGAAUUAUAGCGGAUAGGUGUAUGAAGAUUUACAUUGACUUCAAGGUGGACUUAAAAGUAAAUUAGAGUAUAUAAAUAAUUUGAAUAAGGCUCUGAAGCGUGU